rnacentral:rRNA from 1 species
AACGAACGCUGGCGGCGUGCCUAAUACAUGCAAGUAGAACGCUGAAGAGAGGAGCUUGCUCUUCUUGGAUGAGUUGCGAACGGGUGAGUAACGCAUAGGUAACCUGCCUUGUAGCGGGGGAUAACUAUUGGAAACGAUAGCUAAUACCGCAUAACAAUGGAUGACUCAUGUCAUUUAUUUGAAAGGGGCAAAUGCUCCACUACAAGAUGGACCUGCGUUGUAUUAGCUAGUAGGUGAGGUAACGGCUCACCUAGGCGACGAUACAUAGCCGACCUGAGAGGGUGAUCGGCCACACUGGGACUGAGACACGGCCCAGACUCCUACGGGAGGCAGCAGUAGGGAAUCUUCGGCAAUGGGGGCAACCCUGACCGAGCAACGCCGCGUGAGUGAAGAAGGUUUUCGGAUCGUAAAGCUCUGUUGUAAGUCAAGAACGAGUGUGAGAGUGGAAAGUUCACACUGUGACGGUAGCUUACCAGAAAGGGACGGCUAACUACGUGCCAGCCGCCGCCGUAA